rnacentral:rRNA from 1 species
CCCUUAGAUGUUCGGGGCCGCACGCGCGCUACACUGAAGGAAUCAGCACGUCUUUCUCCUUGUCCGAAAGGACUGGGUAACCCGCUGAACCUCCUUCGUGCUAGGGAUUGGGGCUUGUAAUUCUUCCCCAUGAACGAGGAAUUCCCAGUAAGCGCGAGUCAUAAGCUCGCGUUGAUUACGUCCCUGCCCUUUGUACACACCGCCCGUCGCUACUACCGAUUGGAUGGUUUAGUGAGAUCCUCGGAUUGGUCCCGGAGCGGCCUCUGGCCGUGCCGGAGUGCCGAAAAGAAUGUCGAACUUGAUCAUCUAGAGGAAGUAAAAGUCGUAACA